UACAGAGGGUGCAAGCGUUGUUCGGAAUUAUUGGGCGUAAAGCGCACGUAGGCGGCUUCGCAAGUCGGAUGUGAAAUCCCUCGGCUCAACCGAGGACGUGCACCCGAAACUGCGAAGCUUGAGUACUGAAGAGGAUCGCGGAAUUCCCGGUGUAGAGGUGAAAUUCGUAGAUAUCGGGAGGAACACCAGUGGCGAAGGCGGCGAUCUGGGCAGAUACUGACGCUGAGGUGCGAAAGCGUGGGGAGCAAACAGG
rnacentral:rRNA from 1 species